GUUUGUACUUUUUUUGCAUAUCAAUAAGCGGAGGAAAAGAAACCAACAGGGAUUGCCUCAGUAACGGCGAGUGAAGCGGCAAAAGCUCAAAUUUGAAAUCCCCCCGGGGAGUUGUAAUUUGAAGAUUGCGUCUUGGAGGCGACCGUGUCUAUGUUCCUUGGAACAGGACGUCACAGAGGGUGAGAAUCCCGUGCGGCACGGCCCCCGGCUCCUUAUAAGGCGCUCUCGACGAGUCGAGUUGUUUGGGAAUGCAGCUCAAAGUGGGUGGUAAAUUCCAUCUAAAGCUAAAUACAGGCGAGAGACCGAUAGCGAACAAGUACAGUGAUGGAAAGAUGAAAAGCACUUUGAAAAGAGAGUGAAACAGCACGUGAAAUUGUUGAAAGGGAAGGGCAUGCCGUCAGAUUGUCAGUGUGGGUAAGAAGCGGGGUACAAAGACUGUGGAACGUGGCCCUCGGGUGUUAUAGCCGCAGUUCAUGCCCCGUCUCUUUCCGAGGCCUGCUUUGAGGACACCGACGUAAUGACGGUACGCCGCCCGUCUUGAACCACGGACCAAAAUUGGCAAA
rnacentral:rRNA from 1 species